GAUAGACAUCUGGGCAAGUCAACAGGAAGGUGGAUAUCCAAAUCUCUCUCUUCGCAAUGAGUUUCCAGUUAGAUGGAGGAGAGAGUAAUAAAACACAGAGCUGAGAUUCCUGACUUCACAGAUCCCUGAGGAGAUGUUUACUAAAGGGAAUCUUCUGGUCACUGUUACCUUCCUCCGUACUUACCUGCCUCAUGGAUAACACUGAAGAAUGCAGUUUACUUACAUCUUUUUCUGUUUGACAGAAGACAGUUAUUAGAACCCGAAAGGAAGAAGCUAUACGACUGGGGACACAUGUCUUAGAAGCACACUCAUUAGAUAAAGUGUCGCAUACUCUUUGAUAAG